AAAAUUUUCAAGCUAAGCAUAGCGGUAGGUUCAAAACAGUCUCAGAGCCCCGUAUUAUAUACCUGGUAGGUUCCAUUCCUCAGUGACGCAGAAAGCCCGAGAAAAAUGAACCAUACUAAUAACACCCAGCAAUCCAACGAUGCUAGGCACGACGAUGAUGCAGCUCUCACUGAAUUCCUCUCUUCCUUAAUGGAUUACACUCCCACUAUACCCGAUGAAUUGGUGGAGCAUUACCUAGCUAAGAGUGGGUUUCAAUGUCCUGAUGUUCGAUUAAUUAGAUUAGUAGCUGUUGCUACUCAGAAGUUCGUUGCAGAGGUUGCGGGCGAUGCACUGCAGCAAUGCAGGGCUCGUCAAUCAGCAGUAGUCAAAGACAAAAGAGAGAAGCAGCAAAAGGAAAAGCGCCCAAUCUUGACCAUGGAGGACCUGUCCAAGGCUCUGCGUGAUUACGGCGUGAAUGUGAAGCACCAGGAGUAUUUUGCUGAUAGCCCAUCAACCGGAAUGGAUCCUGCUUCAAGAGAUGAGUAACCUGGCUUGGAUUUACAAGUUUUUUGCAUUUGUUUACAUGUCAAGUCGUUAUACAUUCUUGUUUGUACAACACAUCGCCUUUCUGUAGUCUGAUAGUUUUCAUUUAAAGAUUUAUUAUGAUAUAUAUUUGAUGUCUAGCUAUUAUAUGUUGAUGUUCUGACACUUAACAGAACAGUUGGUAAGGUUUUAACUGCUCCUAUUGCUAUGGCAUGAUAAAAGACUUUAUUAUCAUGUUGUUCCAGGUUGGACAGGCUCGGCUCCUUUAA
rnacentral:misc_RNA from 1 species